AGGUAUCGUUUGCUGUAAUCUAGUAUAAUGAAGUAGGACAAAGAUUCAGCUGUUAUUUAUUAUUCACUUCCUAACUUUCGAGAUAAAUUCUCGAAAUCUCGAAAAAUUUCUUGCUCUCCUGAGAAAACAAGGUUUCGCGUGGCGAUAGACAGAAAGAAAAGAAAACAAAAAGACUGGAAUCGGAGAGAUCGUACAUCGAAAUAUCAGAGACUGGAUUGCACGUUUCAUUGUUGACUGUCGUUCGUCGUUCCGUUUAACUAUUCAUUUCAUUUCCCUUGGAACGAUACUGAAACACUUGACACGAUUUCUGAACUGUUCUCUCGUUGUUAAUGCAGCAACCGAGCCUUCUUAUUUUUAAUCUUCCUCGUCCUUCCACUCAUUCGCACCGGAUCACUUGAGACAGUCGCGAGAGAUUGUCUCCUUCGACUCCAUCUUAGAGGAGACAGAAGGGUAGCUUUUUCCUGAGAAGUGUUUGCGUUUGCAGCGCGAGAAAUACGGCAUCGUCUGGCCGUAAUUACGUCGAAACGUCGUAGACGACGAGCUGUAGAGAGGUUAGAGAGAGCGAAAUAUUCACAGGAAGACGGCACCUGUCGCUUCGGCCUGCAGAAUUUCCGGGAUACGAAGAUAUGUGUCGCGUUCCAACGCGAGAAUGGAACUUGAUAAAAGG
rnacentral:lncRNA from 1 species